rnacentral:tmRNA from 1 species
GGGGGCGCACUGGUUUCGACGGGGUCGUGGAGACUUGGAAAGCGGGUAGAGGAUUCUCGUUGGCCUCUUUAAAAAACGAGAAAUGCAAGUAAUUGCAAACAAAACAACUCUCGUAGCUGCUUAAUCUAGCUACCAUCUCCCCGUUCUAUCUGUCGAUCGGAUCGGAGAUGUCAGAUGACAGACCUUACCUGGCGGUAGGUUAAACAGGACCACGUUCACCGCUAAGCUUUGCGCGAUGGCCGUACUCAUGAAGCUACCGGAGAUAGUUGCCUGUUCGUGGGCACACUGUUGAGGGGAAUACUCCAAACACGAACUGCACCCGGAGAUGUCCUUGUUAACGUGGUUUCGGACAGGAGUUCGAUUCUCCUCGCCUCCACCA